rnacentral:rRNA from 1 species
UACAGAGGUCUCAACCGUUGUUCGGAUUCAUUGGGCGUAAAGGGUGCGUAGGCGGUCGCGCAAGUCGGAUGUGAAAUCUCAGGGCUCAACCCUGAAACUGCAUUCGAUACUGCGUGGCUCGAGUACUGGAGAGGAGACUGGAAUUUACGGUGUAGCAGUGAAAUGCGUAGAUAUCGUAAGGAAGACCAGUGGCGAAGGCGAGUCUCUGGACAGUUACUGACGCUGAGGCACGAAGGCCAGGGGAGCAAACGGG